rnacentral:tRNA from 1 species
UCCCUGGUGGCUCAGAGGUUAAAGCAUCUGCCUCCAAUGCGGAAGACUUGGGUUCGAUCCCUGGGUCGGGAA